UACGUAGGGUGCGAGCGUUAAUCGGAUUUACUGGGCGUAAAGCGUGCGCAGGCGGCCCGUUAAGACAGGUGUGAAAUCCCAGGGCUCAACCUAGGAAUUGCGCUUGUGACUGGCGGGCUCGAGUACGGUAGAGGGGGGUGGAAUUCCUGGUGUAGCAGUGAAAUGCGUAGAGAUCAGGAGGAACACCGAUGGCGAAGGCAGCGCCCUGGGCCUGUACUGACGCUCAUGCACGAAAGCGUGGGGAGCAAACAGG
rnacentral:rRNA from 1 species